rnacentral:rRNA from 1 species
UAAAAAGUUCUAGGGGCACAAAGGUUUGGUCCUAGCCUUACUAUCAGUUAUCUCCAAACUUACACAUGCAAGUCUCAGCACACCCGUGAGGACGCCCUCUACGCCUCCCCCAGGCCCAGGAGCCGGCAUCAGGCACAACACCCCGCCCAUGACGCCUAGUCUAACCACACCCCCAAGGGUACUCAGCAGUGAUAAACAUUGUACAUAAGCGCCAGCUUGACUCAGUUAAGGAGAAGAGGGUCGGCCAAUCUGCGUGCCAGCCGCCGCGGCUAGACCAGCAGACCCAAAUUGAUGGCCCCCGGCGUUAAGCGUGAUUAAAGCAGCCUCCCAAUUAGAGUGAUACUUAUGUUAAGCUGUGAAAAGCUCUCACAACAAAGACCCACAAAAUCGAAAGUUACUCUAAUCUCGCUUGAACACACGACAGCCAGAAAACAAACUGG